rnacentral:tRNA from 2 species
GGAUCUGUAGCUCAGCGGUAGAGCGUUGCAUUCACAUUGCAAAAGUCAGAGGUUCGAAUCCUCUCGGAUCCACCC